GCGGGGGUGCCCGAGCUAGGUCAAAGGGGUCGGGCUCAGGACCCGAUGGCAUAGGCCUGCGUGGGUUCAAAUCCCACCCCCCGCACCA
rnacentral:tRNA from 1 species